rnacentral:tRNA from 6 species
GGAGUGGUAGCUCAGUUGGUUAGAGCGCCGGCCUGUCACGCCGGAGGUCGCGGGUUCGAGUCCCGUCCACUCCGCCA